UAAGGUAGCAAAAUAAUUUGUUUUUUGAUUGGAAACUGGAAUGAAAGAUUAAACAAAAAAUUAUUUUUUAUAAAAAUUUUUUAAAAUUUUUAUUUUGUGUUAAAAUACAUAAAUGAAUAAGAGGGACGAUAAGACCCUAAAAGCUUUAUUAUGGUAUAUUUUUUAUUAUUUUAAAUUAUAAAAUUAAAAAUAAUUUAACUGGGGUAGUUGUUUUUUUAACAAAUAUUUUUUGUAACAUUUUGUAAUAAAGGGUCUUUAUAUUAGGAUAAUUGGUUGAAGUUACUUUAGGGAUAACAGCGUAAUAAUAAUGGAAAGAUCUUAUUUAUAUUAUUGUUUUCGACCUCGAUGUUGAAUUAAAUUUCUUUAUAAAGCAGAAAUUAUUUUUGAAAGUUUGUUCAACUUUUAAAAAUUUACAUGAU
rnacentral:rRNA from 1 species